rnacentral:rRNA from 1 species
UGGGCGGAAGCCUGACGCAGCGACGCCGCGUGGGGGAUGACGGCCUUCGGGUUGUAAACCUCUUUCGCCAGGGACGAAGAGCAAUUGACGGUACUGGAGAAGAAGCACCGGCCAACUACGUGCCAGCAGCCGCGGUAACACGUAGGGUGCGAGCGUUGUCCGGAAUUAUUGGGCGUAAAGAGCUCGUAGGCGGUGUGUCGCGUCGGCCGUGAAAACUUGGGGCUUAACUCUGAGCGUGCGGUCGAUACGGGCAUCACUUGAGUUCGGCAGGGGAGACUGGAAUUCCUGGUGUAGCGGUGAAAUGCGCAGAUAUCAGGAGGAACACCGGUGGCGAAGGCGGGUCUCUGGGCCGAUACUGACGCUGAGGAGCGAAAGCGUGGGGAGCGAACAGGAUUAGAUACCCUGGUAGUCCACGCCGUAAACGUUGGGCGCUA